rnacentral:rRNA from 1 species
AGUGAACGCUGGCGGUAGGCCUAACACAUGCAAGUCGAACGGCAGCACAGUAAGAGCUUGCUCUUACGGGUGGCGAGUGGCGGACGGGUGAGGAAUACAUCGGAAUCUACUUUUUCGUGGGAGAUAAUGUAGGGAAACUUACGCUAAUACCGCAUACGACCUACGGGUGAAAGCAGGGGAUCUUCGGACCUUGCGCGAUUGAAUGAGCCGAUGUCGGAUUAGCUAGUUGGCGGGGUAAAGGCCCACCAAGGCGACGAUCCGUAGCUGGUCUGAGAGGAUGAUCAGCCACACUGGAACUGAGACACGGUCCAGACUCCUACGGGAGGCGGCAGUGGGGAAUAUUGGACAAUGGGCGCAAGCCUGAUCCAGCCAUACCGCGUGGGUGAAGAAGGCCUUCGGGUUGUAAAGCCCUUUUGUUGGGAAAGAAAAGCAGCAGGUUAAUACCCCGCUGUUCUGACGGUACCCAAAGAAUAAGCACCGGCUAACUUCGUG